AGGGAAGAGUUGGGACUCCGCGCAGACCCCUGGACCACCAAACAGCGCCGGCCCGCGGUCAGAAACACUCAGCUUGCUCCGGGAUCCCUAGUGCCUGCCCUCCCCGCCCCUUCAACCGGACCUUCCAGGAUUCAGCAUCAGGCGGGCGCCGCCUCCGGCUUCCCUCAGUGCGCAAUUUCGCGCAUCCAUCCGGUCCCCCAGCAGCAGCUUAGCCAUACCCACCCUGAGUGCUCCCAGCUGCGCCAGCAGCGGCCCCGCCCCCGGCUCGGUACCAUCGAGACGCCAGGUGCGGGCCAGAGCGUCACCAGUCUCAACGUCCGCCCAGAGGACGCCGGGAAACCGACCUCACUCGGAGCUGCGAGAAGCGAUGUACUACGUUUGAGCAGUGCCACUCUCCAUACAUAUGGUGCUAUCAUCUGGAUCAAGACUGGGCCACCUGACUUCUGAGAUGUCAAUGAAGAUGCACUGCAUUAAGAAAAGAAAGGACACGGGUGUGCUGAAACAGGAGGUGACUUUUCAAAUAAAAAUUCAGAGCCACAGGGAGAAAGUUGCAAUUUGGAACCAUCAACAUAUUGGACCUGCACUGAAUCAUCUUCAUAAAGUACCAUCUGCACUUCCGCUGCCAUUCCAACACGAUAAGAAGUCCUUUCAAGGUGAGACUGAAGGAAAUGAAACCACAAUAGCAUAGACAGUUCUCUUAAUGUACAAAAGUUCUACCAAAGUAAAUAGACACAUUUUCUAAGAAUAUAAGAAAAACACACUGCCACUGCAUUUACUUUUGCUGGAAGGAAAGUGAUUUUUCUACAAAUACUUCAAUGAUAUAAAAUUAAUAUCAUUAACAAAAUGCCUUGAUUAGCUCCUAGGAAUUCACUCUUAACAUAGAACAUUUGCGAAGAUAGCUCACAAAUGUUAAAAUUGUCUUUAUCAUUUUUUGUAGAUUUACUUUUCCUGAGAUUUAAUUGUUAUAAAUUAUAUGCUCAGGAUAUCAUUUUAAAUAACAAGCAAAUUACACUAUUGGGAUAAGAAUGCAGCAAAUCCCUACUUGUUAACGCAAUCCAUAUGAGUGAUAUGUUUUUCCCAUCCUUUCAACCUCAGUCUGUUGGGUCUUGUUUUUUAAUCCAAUCUGCCAGUCUAUGUCUUUUGACUGAUGCA